ACUCCUACGGGAGGCAGCAGUGGGGAAUAUUGCACAAUGGGCGCAAGCCUGAUGCAGCCAUGCCGCGUGUAUGAAGAAGGCCUUCGGGUUGUAAAGUACUUUCAGCAGUGAGGAAGGUGGUGCAGUUAAUAGCUGUAUCAUUUGACGUUAGCUGCAGAAGAAGCACCGGCUAACUCCGUGCCAGCAGCCGCGGUAAUACGGAGGGUGCGAGCGUUAAUCGGAAUUACUGGGCGUAAAGCGCAUGCAGGUGGUUUGUUAAGUCAGAUGUGAAAGCCCGGGGCUCAACCUCGGAAUUGCAUUUGAAACUGGCAGACUAGAGUACUGUAGAGGGGGGUAGAAUUUCAGGUGUAGCGGUGAAAUGCGUAGAGAUCUGAAGGAAUACCGGUGGCGAAGGCGGCCCCCUGGACAGAUACUGACACUCAGAUGCGAAAGCGUGGGGAGCAAACAGGAUUAGAUACCCUGGUA
rnacentral:rRNA from 1 species